UGUCCGACCCCAGGCCCGCGGUGUGUGGCUCCUGCUUCUAUUCACUCUUCCGUCGGGAACCACUUGGGAACAGGUUGUAGACAUCAGGACUCUUCCCCACUAAGGCAAGGCCACCGUGCACACGGCCACUGUCACCCCGAACCCUUCAACCCGGGGUGUCCAGUGCUGAGGGAUGGAACCCCAGGCCUGGUGCACACCAGGUUAGAUCCUGGCUGAACACGCGAGGCCAGAAUACAGCAUGGUGAUGUUAAAGCCCCGGUGAAGGAGAUGGGGAAACGGCGCCCUCGAGUCGGCGGCAGGCUCCACGCAU